GUGGGGAAUCUUAGACAAUGGGCGCAAGCCUGAUCUAGCCAUGACGCGUGAGCGAUGAAGGCCUUAGGGUUGUAAAGCUCUUUCGUGGGGGAAGAUAAUGACUGUACCCCAAGAAGAAGCCCCGGCUAACUCCGUGCCAGCAGCCGCGGUAAUACGAAGGGGGCUAGCGUUGCUCGGAAUCACUGGGCGUAAAGCGCACGUAGGCGGCUUUCUAAGUCAGGGGUGAAAUCCUGGAGCUCAACUCCAGAACUGCCUUUGAUACUGGAGAGCUUGAGUUCGGGAGAGGUGAGUGGAACUGCGAGUGUAGAGGUGAAAUUCGUAGAUAUUCGCAAGAACACCAGUGGCGAAGGCGGCUCACUGGCCCGAUACUGACGCUGAGGUGCGAAAGCGUGGGGAGCAAACAGGAUUAGAUACCCCUGUAGUCC
rnacentral:rRNA from 1 species